GGAGUUUGGUCCGUGUCUCAGUACCAAUGUGGGGGACCUUCCUCUCAGAACCCCUACUGAUCGUAGGCUUGGUGGGCCGUUACCCCGCCAACAACCUAAUCAGACGCAUCCCCAUCCCUUAGCGAUAAAUCUUUGUUCCAGCUCAGAUGUCCUCAUCGGAAAACAUAGGGUAUUAAUCCGACUUUCGCCGGGCGUAUGCCCUACUAAGGGGAAGGUUGGAUACGCGUUACUCACCCGUGCGCCGGUCGCCAUCACCGUGUGCAAGCACACGACAUGCUGCCCCUCGACUUGCAUGUGUUAAGCCUGUAGCUAGCGUUCAU
rnacentral:rRNA from 1 species